rnacentral:tRNA from 1 species
AGAAUCUUAGUUUAUUUUAGAAUAUGUAAUUGUAAAUUAUAAGGUUUUUUGGUUCUG